rnacentral:rRNA from 1 species
GUGGGGAAUAUUGGACAAUGGGCGAAAGCCUGAUCCAGCCAUGCCGCGUGUGUGAAGAAGGCCUUCGGGUUGUAAACCGCUUUUGUCAGGGAAGAAAUCCUUUGGGUUAAUACCUCGGAGGGAUGACGGUACCUGAAGAAUAAGCACCGGCUAACUACGUGCCAGCAGCCGCGGUAAUACGUAGGGUGCGAGCGUUAAUCGGAAUUACUGGGCGUAAAGCGUGCGCAGGCGGUUUUGUAAGAUCGAUGUGAAAUCCCCGGGCUCAACCUGGGAACUGCAUUGGUGACUGCAAGGCUGGAGUGCGGCAGAGGGGGAUGGAAUUCCGCGUGUAGCAGUGAAAUGCGUAGAUAUGCGGAGGAACACCGAUGGCGAAGGCAAUCCCCUGGGCCUGCACUGACGCUCAUGCACGAAAGCGUGGGGAGCAAACAGGAUUAGAUACCCCGGUAGUCC